rnacentral:rRNA from 1 species
UGGCGGCGUGCCUAAUACAUGCAAGUAGAACGCUGAAGAGAGGAGCUUGCUCUUCUUGGAUGAGUUGCGAACGGGUGAGUAACGCGUAGGUAACCUGCCUGGUAGCGGGGGAUAACUAUUGGAAACGAUAGCUAAUACCGCAUAAAAUGGAUUAUCGCAUGAUAAUUCAUUGAAAGGUGCAAAUGCAUCACUACCAGAUGGACCUGCGUUGUAUUAGCUAGUUGGUGGGGUAACGGCUCACCAAGGCGACGAUACAUAGCCGACCUGAGAGGGUGAUCGGCCACACUGGGACUGAGACACGGCCCAGACUCCUACGGGAGGCAGCAGUAGGGAAUCUUCGGCAAUGGACGGAAGUCUGACCGAGCAACGCCGCGUGAGUGAAGAAGGUUUUCGGAUCGUAAAGCUCUGUUGUAAGAGAAGAACGAGUGUGAGAGUGGAAAGUUCACACUGUGACGGUAUCUUACCAGAAAGGGACGGCUAACUACGUGCCAGCAGCCGCGGUAAUACGUAGGUCCCGAGCGUUGUCCGGAUUUAUUGGGCGUAAAGCGAGCGCAGGCGGUUAGAUAAGUCUGAAGUUAAAGGCUGUGGCUUAACCAUAGUACGCUUUGGAAACUGUUUAACUUGAGUGCAAGAGGGGAGAGUGGAAUUCCAUGUGUAGCGGUGAAAUGCGUAGAUAUAUGGAGGAACACCGGUGGCGAAAGCGGCUCUCUGGCUUGUAACUGACGCUGAGGCUCGAAAGCGUGGGGAGCAAA